rnacentral:tmRNA from 1 species
GGAGUUGAAAAAUAAUGAGAAUAGUGUAUGAUUAUAUUGUUUCUUUACGAGACUAUGGUGAUAAACGCGCAUGUAAUAAGCGGAUCGGACCCGGGGGCGGUACCCGGCGGCUCCACCAAAUAGUGAUUGAGGGGCCGAAAUAGGAUCGACGAACGUGUAAAGAUGAUAGCUUUUACUCGGCUGGAUGCCACCGUUAUCGGCGCAAAAAAUAUAAUUGCAAAUGACAAUUAUGCUCCGGUUGCAGUUGCUGCAUAAGCAGUAAUUAACUGGAAAUUAAGUCCAGUUUUCUAGCAAAAAUUGGCGGGGUUCGUAGGCACCUGGCAACAGAAGCCUACACA